CUUGAGCAGUGACACUCAGAAGUGCGCACACAAUCCCCGCUCCAGCCACACAGAGCGGAGCCCUGCGCCAGGCACCGGCUGCACUCUCCCACUUACUGGUGCGCCCAGCGCCCUGGGUGAGUGACUACCUGCAGACCCGCCCGCCUCGCUGCAUCCUCCCGCCACUGGGCCGCACGCUCCGCUCCCUUUGAAAGGACCUCCCGCCGCUUCCCGGCUGUGCAGGGUUCCCUGGCCCACGCCGUUCCCGCUCCAUUUCGCGGCAACUUUGGCGGCUGCCGCGGUGCCAGCUCUUCGCUGAUCUUUGAAGUUAGCGGCGCCCUACGCAAAGUUGGGACACUUGGGUCGGCUGAUUUUCCUCUUAUCUGCUUCCGCCCCUGCCCUACCGUCCUCUUGGUUCCUCAGUACCAGUGCUUAGCAUCUUGGCCAGAGCCAGGACGUGGACUGUUUCAUACGCCACACCUCGGGGAGGGAUCUUUCCUCUGCCCCCUGGAAGAGCAAACAUAUUUUAAGCAUCCUAAUCCUGAAUGACCACGGCUGUUUAUAAGGUACUUCCACAUCCACUGCUCCUCUUCAUCUUCAGAGCAGCCCAGAACAAUUAUGCUGUGCCCUGCUGCUCAUAAGAAAUCUGAAACCAAGUUUCAGGGAAGAGACUUGUCUGACGCACAGAAACUUUAAAUAAAGUGGUUACUCUCUGGCUUCAGAAGCAAAAUUGACAGAAAUGUCUACCAAUUUCAAGUUGAGACGAAUGGCCAAAUCAAUUUGCCUAGACACAAUUUGCUUAGCAUUUUCUCACAACUUAAUGAUUCAAAAAUGCCUUUUAUUUACCCUAAAUCCACAAGCUCAUCCCCAUAAUCUAAAUGUUUGCUUGCUUGUUUUUGGUAGUAAUGUAUUAGGUAAGUGUUUUGGGAAGCUCGUCAAACUCUUUCACUUUUACAUUGUUAUGUAAGCUAAAGCAUAAACAAGUCUGAGAUUAAGAACCACUAUGGUUCUUCAGGACCAAAAGGACUGGCCCUGAUAAAUAGGUAAGUAAUAUCCCACAUCUGUCCUGGAAAGUCUUCCUUGAUGGGGAUCACUGAAUGCGAGGUGGAGUGUCAGCCCCUGAAUUGUGGUGGGUCCUGAGGCUGACCUUCUGGCCCUGACACCCCAGCUGCAUCACGCAAGUCCUGCUCCCUCAUAAAGGCAAAGGACAGUGUCGGCUUCUGCAAGAAGUCCACUCAUGACCAUGAGAUCCCUCUUGAAGGCAGAUCCCUCUGCCUUUCUCCAGCCCUUGGGAGUCCAACAGCAGCCAUCAUGCAGGGGAGUUCUGUGCUCAAAGAUUCCCUGCCUGUUGAGUUUGAGCUCUCCCCUAGUAGACAGACUUAAACACAUCUUGGAGACAAGUCAUCUGGAAAAGGAAAGAGAAGACAUGCUUUUUUUUAAUAAGUAGAGCACAAGAAGAAAAACUGAGAUUAGAAAAGUCACAAAUGUAUUUGAGACAUGUAAUCCAUGAUAUGGAGACAUUGCACUGGUGCCGGGCCAUCACAAUUGAUGUGCUGCAGAAUCCUCUUUGAAACUGGUGGUGCUUACUAGUAGUUCACUAGUUGCUCCUCCAGGGCUUACUAGUGGUUCACAGGUUGUUCCUCCAGGACUUACUUUAGUUCACUAGUCUUUCCACCAGGUUUACUACUAGUUCACUAGUCUUGCCACCAGGGCUACUACUAGUUCACUAAUCUUGCCACCAGGGCUUACUAGUGGUUCACUAGUCUUUCUUCCAGGGAUUACUAGUACUUCAUGAGUCACGCCAUCAGGGCUUAUAGUGGUUCAUGAGUCAUUCCACUGGCACUAGUAGUAGUUCUCUGGCAUUCCUCUGGUGCUCACUAGUAGUUCUCCUGCAUUCCUCUGGUGCUCACUAGUAGUUCUCUGCAUUCCUCUGGUGCUCACUAGUAGUUCUCUGGCAUUCCUCUGGUGCUCACUAGUAGUUCUCUGGCAUUCCUCUGCUGCUCUCUAGUAGUAAUUCACUAACUGUUCCACUAGUCCAUUAACAGUGCAGCAUUCUUAAGGGUUAAGAGCUGAAGUUAGGUAUUUUUAGGAUCUUUCAAAUAAAUGAUUUCAAAAGUA